rnacentral:rRNA from 1 species
UACGGGGAGAGCAAGCGUUGUUCGGAAUUACUGGGCGUAAAGGGUUCGUAGGUGGCUUGUUAAGUCAGACGUGAAAUCCCUCGGCUCAACCGGGGAACUGCGUCUGAGACUGAUGAGCUCGAGUGCAGGAGAGGAACGCGGAAUUCCAAGUGUAGCGGUGAAAUGCGUAGAUAUCUGGAGGAACACCGGUGGCGAAGGCGGCGUUCUAAACUGCAACUGACACUGAGGAACGAAAGCCAGGGGAGCAAACGGG